rnacentral:pre_miRNA from 1 species
CUUGGUGGGGGGAUCCCUCAGCCAAGAUUGCGAAAGGGCACAGGCCAGGCUGAGGGACCCCACUGGUGCACA